GCGCCUUAUCCCUAGUCUAGUUCCAAUAAGUUCUGACUACGGAUCAGAAGGUUGGGGGUUCGAAUCCCUCCGGGCGCA
rnacentral:tRNA from 1 species